rnacentral:rRNA from 1 species
GGGCUCUUCGGAGCUAGUGGCGGACGGGUGAGUAACGCGUGAUAAUCUGCCUUCAGGUCUGGGACAACAGAAGGAAACUUCUGCUAAUCCCGGAUGAGCCCUUGGGUAAAAGAUAUAUUGCCUGGAGAUGAGCUCGCGUCUGAUUAGCUAGUUGGUGUGAUAAAAGCAUACCGAGGCGACGAUCAGUAGCUGGUCUGAGAGGAUGAGCAGCCACACUGGGACUGAGACACGGCCCAGACUCCUACGGGAGGCAGCAGUGGGGAAUUUUCCGCAAUGGGCGAAAGCCUGACGGAGCAAGACCGCGUGGGGGAGGAAAGCUCUAGGGUUGUAAACCCCUUUUCUUUGGGAAGAAGUACUGACGGUACCAAAGGAAUCAGCCUCGGCUAACUCCGUGCCAGCAGCCGCGGUAAUACGGAGGAGGCAAGCGUUAUCCGGAAUGAUUGGGCGUAAAGCCGUCCGCAGGUGGCCAUGUAAGUCUGCUGUCAAAACCCAGGGCUUAACUCUGGUCAGGCAGUGGAAACUACAAAGCUAUAGUUCGGUAGGGGCAAAGGGAAUUCCCGGUGUAGCGGUGAAA